rnacentral:rRNA from 1 species
UACGUAGGGGGCAAGCGUUGUCCGGAUUUAUUGGGCGUAAAGAGCGUGUAGGCGGCCUGAAAGGUCAGCUGUGAAAACUCGAGGCUUAACCUCGAGACGUCGGUUGAAACCAUCUGGCUAGAGUCCGGAAGAGGAGUGUGGAAUUCCCGGUGUAGCGGUGAAAUGCACAGAUAUCGGGAAGAACACCCGUGGCGAAGGCGGCACUCUGGGACGGUACUGACGCUGAGACGCGAAAGCGUGGGGAGCGAACAGG